CCUACGGGGGGCUGCAGUGGGGAAUAUUGGACAAUGGGGGGAACCCUGAUCCAGCCAUGCCGCGUGUGUGAAGAAGGCCCUCGGGUUGUAAAGCACUUUCAGUGAGGAAGAACGCCUGGUGGUUAAUACCCAUCAGGAAAGACAUCACUCACAGAAGAAGCACCGGCUAACUCCGUGCCAGCAGCCGCGGUAAUACGGAGGGUGCGAGCGUUAAUCGGAAUUACUGGGCGUAAAGCGCGCGUAGGUGGCUUGAUAAGCCGGUUGUGAAAGCCCCGGGCUCAACCUGGGAACGGCAUCCGGAACUGUCAAGCUAGAGUGCAGGAGAGGAAGGUAGAAUUCCCGGUGUAGCGGUGAAAUGCGUAGAGAUCGGGAGGAAUACCAGUGGCGAAGGCGGCCUUCUGGACUGACGCUGACACUGAGGUGCGAAAGCGUGGGUAGCAAACAGGAUUAGAUACCCCGGUAGUC
rnacentral:rRNA from 1 species